rnacentral:rRNA from 1 species
GCUCACUGGUCGAGUCGGCCUGCGCGGAAGAUGUAACGGGGCUAAACCAUGCACCGAAGCUGCGGCAGCGACGCUUAUGCGUUGUUGGGUAGGGGAGCGUUCUGUAAGCCUGCGAAGGUGUGCUGUGAGGCAUGCUGGAGGUAUCAGAAGUGCGAAUGCUGACAUAAGUAACGAUAAAGCGGGUGAAAAGCCCGCUCGCCGGAAGACCAAGGGUUCCUGUCCAACGUUAAUCGGGGCAGGGUGAGUCGACCCCUAAGG